rnacentral:rRNA from 1 species
AUGCAGGUGGAGUACAGGGCCCUCAUGGAGAACAAGACCUGGAGGCUCGUACCGCGGCCGCGCGGUUCCAACAUCGUCACCGGCAAGUGGUUGUUCCGGCACAAGCUCAAGGCCGACGGCACGCUCGAACGCUACAAGGCCAGAUGGGUGGUUCGCGGCUUCUCCCAACGCCCCGGCGUCGACUUCGACGAGACCUUCUCACCGGUCGUCAAGGCGGCCACGAUCCGUGUCGUCCUCACCGUUGCAGCAUCUCGUCGGUGGCCCGUGCAUCAAAUGGAUGUCAACAAUGCCUUCCUGCACGGCCACUUGACGGAGCAGGUGUACUGCCAGCAACCCGCUGGCUUCGUCGACGAGGCUCACCCCGACGUCUGUCUGCUCGAUCGCUCCCUCUACGGCUUGGAGCAAGCGCCACGCGCCUAG